CAUUAUUGUUUGCUUUUUUCAGAUUUCGAAUUUUGACAACGGUGGUUGUUGUUUUUGGCACAGUCGUAGUUAUGAAGCAGUGGCCAGAACUGGCGGAUAUGAGCAAAUAUGUUGUGAACUAUUUCAAAGAAAUUUUCGCUUUCAAGUAGUAAGUUGAAUUGAAUCCUGGAUAUGAUCUCUAGUGAAUGAAUCUCUCUAUGUCUGGUCCGAUUGCUUGAAGCAUCCUUCAGUUGUACUGAAUGCUGAGGUUCGAGGAUUCAACGAGUGCUGAUCGUAUCAUGUCAUCACAUGUCUCAGAAGCUCAUAGUUAUUCAACCGACUAGACUACAUUGUAAAUAUUACCUUACCAAACAAAGACACAUGUGCUCAUAAUUUUAUUUUCAACUGAAUAUUCUCCACCUGUCGAUAAAUGCGCUUAAAAUGUUCUACUUACUACUUACUACUACUGAUUGUCUGAUGUGCUGUGUAAAGUCCACUCAGAGCAUCUCUAUAAUGGCUAAAACAGGGUUUACUGUAUUUUUAAACCAUGUCUGUAUUUCUGUAUUUCCGUCAUUCAAAUCAUCAAAUCAGUCUGCAAGAUCUUUGGUAGUAUGUGAAAUUUAUGUUAGUAUAUUUCUUUAAAUCAUAGACAUUAUUCAUGUAGACUUUCAAUUUUAUUCAAAUAUUGUUUAUUUUAAAUGAAUUGCUCAUGAGAUGCAAAGUUCUCGUUACAUUCAAGUUUUAAUUGCAUAACAUGAUGUGUUAAUUAUUGUGAUAUUGUGAAUUAAAUUUAAUUGUAUUGAAAUGUUAUUUGUAUAUUUUAAGUUAACCUAAUUAGCUGAAAUUAGAUUGAUUUUCUCGCAAAGACUCAUGGUGCCUAUUUUAAAUGAGAAUUGAUGGAAUUUAGAGUUGAUUAGUUGGAGAAUGUUGUAUUGUUUUGUAAAAUAUUCGAUCAUAAACUUCUAUCAUGUUUCUACGCUUUUUUAAUGCUUCCGACUGGAAGUAGAUUCUCCAGGCACAUUGAUUAUGAGACUAAUGCAAAUUUAGAAUAAUAUUGUUAAUAGAUGCUCUCAGACAACACAAGUAAUGCAUUGUCACACAUCGUGUUAGUAACUCGUCAAUCACUCAUAAAUCAUUUUCAUACAUAAAUCUAGCUGUUUGUGGCGGUAAACAAUUUUAUCUGAAUGUUUACAUUUAUUAAAUUCUUAAUUGAAAUAGAACUUGGGCUUAUUGUCGAGCGCUGGCUAUUUGAGACGAGUGAAAGAUGAGCUGUGCUGUAUUUUAUUGUAUUCAUGUAUAUUUUUCCGAAAUAAAUUCACAUAUUUGUGAAUUGGUAACUUUUAAAUGUUUAUGCACAUGUUCAAAUCAAUGACUACAAUCCCUUAUGUUGAUUGGUUAGGCUUAUAGUAAAAAUAUGAAAUUAUAGGGAAGGGCAUUCAAUGUAUAGGAAGGAAAAUGUCCUAUGAUGAUAAUAUGAAUACGUGUUUAAUAUCAUUAAAUUAUUGUGCUAGAGAUAGGUAAAUAAAUAUUUUUAUACUUUAUGUAAGUCCCUUUUUAUUCCUUUGUAUAAUACAUUAUUUACUUUUCUAUUACUUUUUCAAUGUAAAUUUAUAAUGUGUAUGUGUAUCUAUCAAUUUUCAAGGUAAAUGUCACUUUCUCUCUUUGGAAUGAAUAAAUGUUUGAUUUUAUUUGUCAGUUGCUAUAAAAAGUUUAGCUUUUGCAAAUAAAAAUCUUCUACAAGUCAA